GAAAUAUUUCGGACCAUUGAGACGUCGGAACAAAGAGGAGUCGGAAUUAGGGGCAGCCGCAGAAAGACCAUUGGGGCAAUGGUCUUUCCUCUUUUAAAACGUAAGCGACGUUUGAGUGACGAUAAAUGAUUUAGACUGGGGUCAAAUUCUAAAAGUGUCCAAUGCUUAUGACGAUUUGUUUGACCUGCUUUGAUGCAGUGGAGUAUUCAGACACAAAAGUCACUAUACGUAGGUGUAGGAUAAGUGGUCAAUAAUAAGUGUUUCAUCAUACCCUCUUUGUCUAAAACGUUGGGACAUUUCAUACUUUAAUUUCAUGAUCUUAUCCUUCUUUGACUUGAUAUAGCCUACUAUUGUUGACUGCACAUCACCAGCACCUGAGAAUCAAAAGGCUGUGCAUUGGGACUUCUUUCUUUUUAGUAUCAAGUAGACCAAUCCCUUUUUUUAAGUUUCGUUUUCAAAGGAAUAGAGUAGGCUAUACAGGGCGUUUACCACACCUUGGUUAAAAGCCUUCCACUAGCGCUAUCAUUUAUCUCCUGCUUCCACGAUGGGCUAUUUGCAUGCUCUUCGUUCUUUAUUUGACAAUAUCAACCGUUGGGGGAAUAAAAUGCUACUCGUGUGUCGCCGGAGACCCCCUCUCCUGCCUUGAGACCAAAGAAUGUUCCAUCCCCAUGGAUCGCUGUUACAGCCUGGAUCUGACUGGCCUUGGGGAAACCUUGAUCAAGGGAUGUCAA